CCUACGGGAGGCAGCAGUGGGGAAUAUUGGACAAUGGGGGGAACCCUGAUCCAGCCAUGCCGCGUGUGUGAAGAAGGCCCUCGGGUUGUAAAGCACUUUCAGUGAGGAAGAACGCCUGGUGGUUAAUACCCAUCAGGAAAGACAUCACUCACAGAAGAAGCACCGGCUAACUCCGUGCCAGCAGCCGCGGUAAUACGGAGGGUGCGAGCGUUAAUCGGAAUUACUGGGCGUAAAGCGCGCGUAGGUGGCUUGAUAAGCCGGUUGUGAAAGCCCCGGGCUCAACCUGGGAACGGCAUCCGGAACUGUCAAGCUAGAGUGCAGGAGAGGAAGGUAGAAUUCCUGGUGUAGCGGUGAAAUGCGUAGAGAUCGGGAGGAAUACCAGUGGCGAAGGCGGCCUUCUGGACUGACACUGACACUGAGGUGCGAAAGCGUGGGUAGCAAACAGGAUUAGAUACCCUAGUAGUC
rnacentral:rRNA from 1 species